GCCGGGUGUGGUGGCAGGCGCCUGUAGUCCUAGCUACUCAGGAGGCUGAGGUGGGAGGAUUGCUUUAGCCCAGGAGGUCCAGGCUGCAAUGAGCUAUGAUUGUGCCAUUGCACUGCAGCCUGGGUGACAGAGCAAGACCCUGUCUCUU
ensembl:misc_RNA Metazoa_SRP Metazoan signal recognition particle RNA